UUUUUUUUUUUUUUUUUUUUUUUUUAGUAAUAGUUUAAUAUAAAUUUGGUCCUAAGUUAUUCUUAAAAAAUGGACUGAUACGUCAGUCGAUUUCUGAUACAGCUUUUAUUUUCUUUGUUUUUUUUUAAUGUUAAUUUUUUUGCAACACUGCUUACAAACCUAUGAAGAUGAAAACUUUGCGUAAAGCAUGAGCAUGAGGAAAACCCUUGGAAAUAAUUUUUUUUUGUAGAGAUUAUUUGACUGCAGUUCAAUCCGCUGGUGUACUUGUAGUACUUCAGAGUUCACAUUAAAAAGUCCUACUGAAAAUAUCUAAAUCUUUGUUUGUUCAAAUCUUCUAAAGCUUUUUUUUUUGAAAACUUGUUUUAAACAUGUCAUACUGUUUCCUGAAAUUAUUUGUUAUAAUUUCUAAGCUUGCUUUCUUGAGGUGGGCAUGGCGGCCGAGUGGAUAAGCGCUUGGCUUCCGGACUUGGGUUCGAAUCUUGGUGAAGACUUGGAUUUUGAAUUUUGGGAUUUUCAGAGCCCACCAACUUAAAGGCGGUUGGUCGUUUUGCUGGCCACAUGACACCCUGCUCGUUAACCAUUGGCCAAAGUCAGAUGACCUUAAUAUAUCAUCUGCCUUAUAGACCGGGUGGUCUGUUAGGGGAACAUUUUUCUUGCUUUCUUGAACAAAAACUUAGAAUUUAAUCCCAUGAAAUGAAACAAAUCUUUUUGAGCUAAACCCUCAAAGAAAUCAAGUUGUUUUAAAACUUGUUGACCCCAGAUGUCAUAUCCAUUAAAUGAGGUUUACCUUGUUGUCUUAACAUUUCAUUUGUUCAUGUGACAGAGAAGAUUAAUUUGCAUUCAAAGUUUGAAUUAUCACAUAGUUAUGUUUUUAAUUAUGGUUAUAAAAUGUAUAUCAGGCCAUAAUGAACCUUGCAUUGGGCCAGAGCUGGACCCAUGCAUUUGCAAAUUAUUAUGAUAGGAGAUGUUUAUUCUCCCACCUACGCUGUUGUGAUGUGUACAAGCUGUAAGUCUGCACAAGGAUUGGGAUUGUGUCUAAGAAUGUGAAGACAUUGUGUUCUAAACAAUGCAAAUCAUUUCUAUUGUCAUCACAUUUGUGUUAUCAAACUCACUGAAUGAAACUCUGCUCCUGUCAUUCUAUUGAUUGAUGUCACUGAAUGAAACUCUGCUCGUGUAAUUCUAUUGGUUGAUUUGAGGUGUCCUAAUGGAAGAAGGCAGUACAAUUAAUAGCACAAAACUUACACAUAAACUCAACAACAGGCCUAAUGUGCCAUUGAAAGAAAAAAAAAAGGCUACAGUAUAAAGUAUGGCAUGAUUUUGGUUUCAAACAUCCUACCUAUUAUUGUUUGUUGUUUUUUUUUUUUGUUUUUUGGUAGGGGGGGGGGGCACCCGGUUCUAUUGUUUCUAUGUUAAUUCUUAGACUCCAUUUCUUCUGGGGCAAAUCUUGUUGUUGGGAUACUGUAAAUAUGUCGAUACAACAUGAGACUCAGUUAAUAGUGGCAUACUUAAUUUUCAUCCAUGAGUGUCAUAAACUUAAAAUAUUGUAUGCCAACUUUGAACGAAAUCAAUGAAUCUUCUGACUUUGUAACCUUAAAUGUGCAUCAUGUAGAUUGAACCAUUUUAUUGACUUUAUUUCAUGACCUUAGGUGUUAAUCUCCUUCUUCAUAAGACAGUCAAAAUUAUUUAUUGCAAAUGUGACCAAAGUUUGUUUUUCUCCAAAAUCUUCCUAGAUCAGGGGCUCUCAACCUGUGGGUCGAUUGACGAUUUGCCAGGGGUCGCCAAAGACCAUCGAAAAAUUGGAUUGUUAUUGUCUAUUCUUCUAUUGCUGUGUGUGAGGGGGGGGGGGCGGGG